rnacentral:lncRNA from 1 species
GUCUUUUCGAGGUAGGAGUCGACUCCUGUGAGGUAUGGUGCUGGGUGCAGAUGCAGUGUGGCUCUGGAUAGCACCUUAUGGACAGUUGUGUCCCCAAGGAAGGAUGAGAAUAGCUACUGAAGUCCUAAAGAGCAAGCCUAACUCAAGCCAUUGGCACACAGGCAUUAGACAGAAAGCUGGAAGUUGAAAUGGUGGAGUCCAACUUGCCUGGACCAGCUUAAUGGUUCUGCUCCUGGUAACGUUUUUAUCCAUGGAUGACUUGCUUGGGUAAGGACAUGAAGACAGUUCCUGUCAUACCUUUUAAAGGUACAUGUUUUAUUGAUGUUAACGUUAAUUGAUUGAGCUACUGUUAGUGAUGAUUUUAAAAUUAAAGCAGAUGGGAAUCUCUCUGAGAAAGAAAAUGGAGAUUAAUCUUAAACUGAAACAGUAGUUGGGAAAUCUUUUAGAAAUCCACCUAUUACUACCUAUUGGUAAAGGAGAUUAAAUUUCUACAGGUAUGGAGAGUCGGCUUGACUACACUGUGUGGAGCAAGUUUUAAAGAAGCAAAGGACUCAGAAUUCAUGAUUGAAGAAAUGCAGGCAGACCUGUUAUCCUAAACUAGGUGAGUCAGCUUUUGGUACAUGUGAUGAUUUUCAGUGUAACCAAUGAUGUAAUGAUUCUGCCAAAUGAAAUAUAAUGAUAUCACUGUAAAACCGUUCCAUUUUGAUUCUGAGGUUACUCUACUAACAAGCAUCACACAUUUGUAUUUUGCCCUGAUUAAUAUGUUGGCUUCGCUUUCAGGGUUUUUAAUGACCACAACAAGCAAGCAUGCAGCUUACUGCUUGAAAGGUGAGGAUUGGAAAUGUUGGGACUAUUAUAAUUGCAGAAUACAUGAUGAUCUCAAUCCAACUUGAACUCUCUCACUGAUUACUUGAUGACAAUAAAAUAUCUGAUAUUCUGCAUUCCCAUGUAGCAUUUUAAUUGAAGUCUGUAAAUGUGGCUAAAAGUCUUGUCUUAUUUUUUGAGACAGGGUCUUGCCUCACCCAAGCUAGAGUGCAGUGGCCUUUGAAGCUUACUACAGCCUCAAACUUCUGGGCUCAAGUGAUCCUCAGCCUCCCAGUGGUCUUUGUAGACUGCCUGAUGGAGUCUCAUGGCACAAGAAGAUUAAAACAGUGUCUCCAAUUUUAAUAAAUUUUUGCAAUCCA